GGGGAGUUCCCUGAGAGCCGAUAGAAGGGAAGAGGGGACGGAGGCGGGCACCCCGCAGGCGCGGCCAGCGGGCGCCUCCCCGAGUCGCCAGAGCUCCCCCGGAGCCUCCCCCGGCCCCGCUCGGCCCGUGCGGCUGCCCCCAGCUCCAGCCCCUCCCCUGAAGCCUGUGCUGUAGCCGCAGGCAGCCCCCGAGCCCUGUCGUGAGGGCAGCAAGCUGGCCCUCCGAUGUUCUCGAGUCUCCCUGAACAGGCCACGCUGUGAGUGCGGUUGUCCGUUCGUCCCCGGGGAUGCCGUUGACUGCAGCAGCCUCAGGCUUGCGUGGGCUGUCUCUGCCUGGCCUCCCUCUCCUCGCGGCGCGGGAGCAAAAAGGGGCAGGUGGAACACUUACUGGCUGUGGACGGGAGCUGCUGAAGCUGAAGCUGGAGAGGCCACAGAAUGGUAAAGCUGCUGAAGAAUAAAAUAAAGAGGAUCCAGCCAGCAGCUGCAGACAGGAGAUAGCCUGCCUCUCCAGGUGGAUGACAGUCAAGUGACUGCAGCUGCAGAGGAGGAAGGGAGAGGGGGAGAGAGACAGACAUGUCUGAAUGGUCAAAUUCUCUCAGCAGCUCCAAGAGCGGGAGAAGCUGUCAGCCCUGCAGACACCAAGGUCAGUGAAGAAGG